rnacentral:rRNA from 1 species
UACGGAGGGUGCGAGCGUUGUCCGGAAUCACUGGGCGUAAAGGGCGCGUAGGCGGCCUGGGAAGUCGGCGGUGAAAGCCCGGGGCUCGACCCCGGGUCGGCCGUCGAGACUCCUCGGCUUGAGCUCACUAGAGGCAGAUGGAAUUCCGGGUGUAGCGGUGGAAUGCGUAGAGAUCCGGAAGAACACCGGUGGCGAAGGCGGUCUGCUGGGGUGAGGCUGACGCUGAGGCGCGAAAGCUAGGGGAGCAAACAGG